rnacentral:rRNA from 1 species
UACGAAGGGAGCUAGCGUUGUUCGGAAUCACUGGGCGUAAAGCGCACGUAGGCGGAUUUGUCAAUCAGGGGUGAAAUCCCGGGGCUCAACCUCGGAACUGCCUUUGAUACAGCAAGUCUUGAGUUCGAGAGAGGUGGGUGGAAUUCCUAGUGUAGAGGUGAAAUUCGUAGAUAUUAGGAAGAACACCGGUGGCGAAGGCGGCCCACUGGCUCGAUACUGACGCUGAGGUGCGAAAGCGUGGGGAGCAAACAGG